ACCCCCAGGACUGUCAAGGAGGGAAAGGGGGUCUGGGCAGUGUCCCUGGCUGGACUCUGAGACCUGAUGAAGCCAUCCCCCUCCAGUUCCUGGAGUCACAUCAUGCUGGUCUCUGAGGAGAACUUUCUCUCCGUGGUUUCUUCCUUCCCGAUAUCACUGGGAUGCCUUCGUGCAGGGUCCGCCACUCAGCUCAUCGAGACGGGCCCAUAGAAUCCCAACUGAAUGGGCCUGCUCCACCCCUGACACCGGAGCCAUUUAAAAUAUAUAUCAUCGAAUUAGAAUGAAGCUACUUCUCCACUGCUGGUCCGAGUUUCGAUGAAAACCCGUUAAGUUCCAGAAGGAGGCUGAUGUUGCUGACACUCCAAGCACCAGACUUGCCCUAGAUUUGAAAGACAUCUGCAAGUAUCGCAAUUAAGUGGCCGAAUGGGUGGGCGAAGAAUGCUCCAUAAUUUGCUUAUGUGAAAACCUGCGGUCCUAGGUCAUGACCACCUCCUGGCCCCUUGUUCAGAGGGAGGCUGAAGGUGACAGAUUGUGGCAAGAACAUCCCAUCUUCUUCCAUAAAGUCAUUCUGGACUUUGCAGACCUUGGAUCCCCCAGGAGAUGAGGCAGUGACCCAAAAUUCUCUCCUGGCAGGAUUCUCUCUCCUGGAUUUCUAGUGGAAACCUGGUGCCUUGAUCUGCACACAGUGGACACUCGCUCAUCACUGACUGAUGAUGAAAACAAAGACAGCGAUAUCAAUGAAGAUGAUGACCGUA